CACAAGAAGCCAUAAUCAAGAAAGCAAAGAGAUGUUGCUAAGAAGCUCCUCGACACCAGUUCUAGGUUCUCUCCUUUCUCCAAUCCAAGAGGGUCCCAGCAGCAACCAUGAAACCAACGCCACCUUCAAGCACCACCUGCCACCACCGUCACCGACCACCACCAUUCACCACAGCCACAGCUACAACAAACUCUCGUGUGCGGCCUUUAAUAUUCCUACAGUCUCCUGCCAUUCCUCUCCCAGGUCGUCUCCCUCUGCCGCCGACC
rnacentral:lncRNA from 1 species